GACAGAGGGUGCAAACGUUGUUCGGAAUUACUGGGCGUAAAGCACGUGUAGGCUGCUUCAUAAGUCGGGUGUGAAAGCCCUGGGCUCAACCUAGGAAGUGCACUCGAAACUGCGAAGCUUGAGUCCUGGAGAGGAAGGCGGAAUUCUCGGUGUAGAGGUGAAAUUCGUAGAUAUCGAGAGGAACACCGGUGGCGAAGGCGGCCUUCUGGACAGUGACUGACGCUGAGACGCGAAAGCGUGGGGAGCAAACAGG
rnacentral:rRNA from 1 species